ACCACGGAGCAAUGCAGGCUUGGCUGGCUUUGGCUGACGAGUGGCGGACGGGUGAGUAAUGUCUGGGAAACUGCCUGAUGGAGGGGGAUAACUACUGGAAACGGUAGCUAAUACCGCAUAACGUCGCAAGACCAAAGAGGGGGACCUUCGGGCCUCUUGCCAUCGGAUGUGCCCAGAUGGGAUUAGCUAGUAGGUGGGGUAACGGCUCACCUAGGCGACGAUCCCUAGCUGGUCUGAGAGGAUGACCAGCCACACUGGAACUGAGACACGGUCCAGACUCCUACGGGAGGCAGCAGUGGGGAAUAUUGCACAAUGGGCGCAAGCCUGAUGCAGCCAUGCCGCGUGUAUGAAGAAGGCCUUCGGGUUGUAAAGUACUUUCAGCGGGGAGGAAGGCGAUAAGGUUAAUAACCUUGUCGAUUGACGUUACCCGCAGAAGAAGCACCGGCUAACUCCGUGCCAGCAGCCGCGGUAAUACGGAGGGUGCAAGCGUUAAUCGGAAUUACUGGGCGUAAAGCGCACGCAGGCGGUCUGUCAAGUCGGAUGUGAAAUCCCCGGGCUCA
rnacentral:rRNA from 1 species